rnacentral:rRNA from 1 species
GAUGAACGCUGGCGGCGUGCCUAAUACAUGCAAGUCGAGCGAACAGACGAGGAGCUUGCUCCUCUGACGUUAGCGGCGGACGGGUGAGUAACACGUGGAUAACCUACCUAUAAGACUGGGAUAACUUCGGGAAACCGGAGCUAAUACCGGAUAAUAUAUUGAACCGCAUGGUUCAAUAGUGAAAGACGGUUUUGCUGUCACUUAUAGAUGGAUCCGCGCCGCAUUAGCUAGUUGGUAAGGUAACGGCUUACCAAGGCAACGAUGCGUAGCCGACCUGAGAGGGUGAUCGGCCACCCGGGAACUGAGACACGGUCCAGACGCCUACGGGAGGCAGCAGUAGGGAAUCUUCCGCAAUGGGCGAAAGCCUGACGGAGCAACGCCGCGUGAGUGAUGAAGGUCUUCGGAUCGUAAAACUCUGUUAUUAGGGAAGAACAAAUGUGUAAGUAACUAUGCACGUCUUGACGGUACCUAAUCAGAAAGCCACGGCUAACUACGUG